rnacentral:rRNA from 1 species
UACAGAGGGGGCAAGCGUUAUUCGGAAUUACUGGGCGUAAAGGGCGCGUAGGCGGCCUGGCAAGUGGAAGGUGAAAUCCCUCGGCUUAACCGAGGAACUGCCCUCCAAACUGCUUGGCUUGAGUCCGGGAGAGGUGAGUGGAAUUCCCAGUGUAGCGGUGAAAUGCGUAGAUAUUGGGAGGAACACCAGUGGCGAAGGCGGCUCACUGGACCGGAACUGACGCUGAGGCGCGAAAGCGUGGGGAGCAAACGGG